AUGGGAGCUCGCCAAGAUGACGCCCAUCGCCAACAUCAUCAACCCGGUGUCAUGGAGAAUCGUGGUGUGGAGCUCGCAAGGAGCACGCCUGCCAUCUACUUCAUCAUGCUGGAGCCAGAGGAUGGAGAUACAACGCUCAUUGGGGAUGUCGCCGAUGUCUACUUCGUCAAGCUGGAGCCCGGAGGCGUGGAGCUGGCGGGGAUGCCGUCAUAUGCCGCGAAGGAUGGCGACACGGAGCUCUCUAGGAUGACGCUUGUAGUCUUCAUCAAGCCAGCACCAUGGAGGACGGAGGUGUGGAGCUCGCGAGGACACUGA
rnacentral:rRNA from 1 species